rnacentral:rRNA from 1 species
AUGAUGGAGGGCAGGAAAGAGAGGGGGAGAUCUCAUAGAGUGUUUCGGCGGAUGGCGAUGCAGUGCCUCUGCUCCGGGGAGCAGGCCAAUCUGGUGGAUGAGCUGAACCCGUCAAAUGGUGAAAUCGAGUUGUAUGCCAAAAAUGACGGCCUUCGGGAAGCCGAGUUGUCUCUCCAGGAGGGCGGUUCCCUUAACUAUGAGGAAGCAAGGGCAUUGCUUGCAAAAGUCGAGUACCAACAGGGGCAUGUUGAAGAAGCACUUCGUGUGCUUGAUGGGAUAAACACGGCUGAACUAAUUCCUAUGGUGAAAAUGUCCAUCAGUAGAUUAGCAAGGGCCGAUCCACAUUCCAGUUAUCCACCAAUGUCCUUGCAUACUGUUAAUCUAGUAACGGAGACCAUAUAUCUCAAAACUAUAGCACUUCGUGACCUUGGGAAAUUCAAAGAAGCUGCACAGGAGUGCAGUAUGAUAUUGGACGUUAUAGAAUCGGCACUCCCUAAGGGCUUACCAACCAAGUUUGGAGAUGGUAGUAACUUGAAUGCAACAAUACGCAGUGCCGUUGAGUUGCUUCCUGAGCUAUGGAAAUUAGCGGAUUUCCCUCCUGAAGUGCUCUCUUCAUACAGGAGGGCUCUUCUUAGUAAUUGGAACCUCGAUGCAAAGGCCAUUGGUAGAAUACAGAAGGAGUUUGCUAUUUUUCUCCUAUACAGUGGCUGUGAGGCCUCAACUCCACCUCUUCGAUCCCAAUUGGAUGGUUCAUUUGUACCUCGGAAUAAUUUGGAAGAAGCUAUUCUUCUUUUGAUGAUUUUAUUGAUGAAAUUCAACCUUAAGAGGCUUGAGAGAGACCCAACUGUGAUGCAUCAUCUGACUUUUGCAUUGUCCAUGUCAGGACGGUUAAAACCUCUAGCCGGUCAGUUUGAAAAACUAUUACCUGGUGUGUUACACAGCAGAGAGUGGCUGUACAAUGUUGCACUGUGUUACCUAGCAGAAGAAGAUGAUCUAGCUGCCCUCAAUCUGCUCAAAAUGAUACUAAGAUUUGGAGAGCACUCCAGUUGUCUCAAAGAACUUCUUCUAACUUCAAAAAUUUGUAGCGAGAACGUUGCACAUGCUGAAGAAGGUGCAUCCUAUGCACGCAGAGCCCUUGCUAGUCUCGAUGGAGGUUGUGACCAGUUAGAGGUUGUCGCGGACCUUCUACUUGGCAUUUCCCUCUCCCGCCAAGCUCGAUAUGCUCCGAGUGGUACGGAGAGGGCUUCUCAGCAGCGUGAAGCACUGAAGGUGCUUGGUGUUGCUGAAAAGAAGAUGGAAGGCAAAGAUUUUAGGGUACUGUACAAUCUGAGCCUUGAAAAUGCUGAGCAGAGGAAACUAGAUGCAGCAGCUCUUUAUGCAAAGAAGUUACUGAAAUUGGAGAAUGGUUCAGAAUUAAGGAGCUGGCUCCUUGUAGCUCGUAUCACGAGUGCUCAAAAACGGUUCGAAGAUGCUGAAUCUAUUGUAAAUGCUGCCCUUGAUCAGACUGCAAAGUGGUGCCAAGGAGAUCUGUUGCAAACCAAAGCCAAAAUUCAGGCUGCAAACGGGCAAUUUAAGAAGGCAGUCGAGACUUAUACCCAGCUUCUUGCUGUCAUCCAACUCAGGAAGAAAAGUUUCAACUCUGGGCUUUUUGUAUUACAGGGCACGAAGGAUGAUGGAAGCAUGGAAACAGAGGCAUGGUAUAAUCUGGCCCUUUUGUACCUAAGCCUGUCACAAUGGAGGGAUACAGAGCUUUGCAUAUCGAAAAUAAAAGCCACCAGUGCAUAUUCUCCCUUGGCUUAUCAUGCUACAGGAAAGCUACUUGAAGCAAGAGGGUUUCUAAAGGAGGCUUUUGGAGCAUACUCCAAAGCAUUAGAUCUCGACCCUAAGCACGUACCGAGUUUGAUAUCUGCCGCCAUUGCUCUUCGACAGCUUGGAGGGAGGCCCUUGCCUGCCGCAAGGUGCCUCCUAACUGAUGCGCUGAGACUGGACAGAACGAACCAUGUUGCAUGGUUUAACCUCGGUCUAACCUAUGAAGAUGAAGGGGGCAGUUCAUCAGCGGCACUUGAAGCUGCCGAAUGUUUUCAGGCGGCUGCCCUUCUCGAAGAAACCGCCCCGGCUGAACCUUUCAGAUAA